GUAAGAAACUGUCUUCUUGCUGGUUUGAUUUGUAGCCCAGUAAGGAUUCAAUGUCUUUAAGACAGGAGGGGAGAGGCUGCAAGCUCAAGAUAGUGAUGGAAAAAGUUUUACUCACCAUGUGAAGAGAUGGAGAAAUAUUAAAGACUUUGUUGGGCCACUCGAGGACAAGUUACAAAGGAUUCAUGAAGCCAGGAAAUAUUUUCUGAGCAUUUUGCAAUGGUUUUCACUCAUAAAGAUGUUGCUGACUGACAGGAUUCAAUGAUUCUGUUACAAAUAAAAUUAUGAAAAUUAA